rnacentral:rRNA from 1 species
UAAGACGAACCGAGCGAACGUUGUUCGGAAUCACUGGGCUUAAAGGGCGCGUAGGCGGGCCGUCUAGUCCGUGGUGAAAUCCUCCGGCUCAACCGGAGAAGUGCCUCGGAUACUGGCGGCCUCGAGGGGGGUAGGGGCGUGCGGAACUUCCGGUGGAGCGGUGAAAUGCGUAGAUAUCGGAAGGAACACCGGUGGCGAAAGCGGCGCGCUGGACCCCAUCUGACGCUGAGGCGCGAAAGCCAGGGGAGCAAACGGGAUUAGAUACCCCGGUAGUCCUGGCCCUAAACGAUGGGCACUAGGUUGUGGGCUUACAUGGGUUCACAGCCGAAGCAAAAGUGUUAAGUGCCCCGCCUGGGGAGUAUGGUCGCAAGGCUG